CAAGUUGAAACACCGGUUCCCGUAUGUUAACCGCAGUUAAGCAACAUCAAGCCUGAUAAGUAUCUAGAUGGGUCACCGCUUGAGAAUAUUAGGUGUUGUAAG